rnacentral:rRNA from 1 species
GACGAACGCUGGCGGCGUGCUUAACACAUGCAAGUCGAGCGAGGCCCUUCCUUCGGGGAGGUGUCCUAGCGGCGAACGGGUGAGUAACACGUGGGCAACCUGCCCUCAGCUCUGGGAUAACUCCGGGAAACCGGGGCUAAUACCGGAUAUGACCACUCUGGGCAUCUUGGGUGGUGGAAAGUUUUUCGGCUGAGGAUGGGCCCGCGGCCUAUCAGCUUGUUGGUGGGGUGAUGGCCUACCAAGGCGACGACGGGUAGCCGGCCUGAGAGGGUGACCGGCCACACUGGGACUGAGACACGGCCCAGACUCCUACGGGAGGCAGCAGUGGGGAAUAUUGCGCAAUGGGCGGAAGCCUGACGCAGCGACGCCGCGUGAGGGACGAAGGCCUUCGGGUUGUAAACCUCUUUCAGCAGGGACGAAGCGCAAGUGACGGUACCUGCAGAAGAAGCACCGGCCAACUACGCGCCAGCAGCCGCGGUAAUACGUAGGGUGCAAGCGUUGUCCGGAAUUAUUGGGCGUAAAGAGCUCGUAGGCGGUCUGUUGCGUCGGCUGUGAAACCCCGAGGCUCAACCUCGGGCCUGCAGCCGAUACGGGCAGACUAGAGUUCGGCAGGGGAGACUGGAAUUCCUGGUGUAGCGGUGAAAUGCGCAGAUAUCAGGAGGAACACCGGUGACGAAGGCGGGUCUCUGGGCCGAUACUGACGCUGAGGAGCGAAAGCGUGGGGAGCGAACAGGAUUAGAUACCCUGGUAGUCCACGCCGUAAACGUUGGGCGCUAGGUGUGGGUUCCCUUCCACGGGGAUCCGUGCCGCAGCUAACGCAUUAAGCGCCCCGCCUGGGGAGUACGGCCGCAAGGCUAAAACUCAAAGGAAUUGACGGGGGCCCGCACAAGCGGCGGAGCAUGUGGCUUAAUUCGAGGCAACGCGAAGAACCUUACCUGGGUUUGACAUGCAGGGAAAUCUCCCAGAGAUGGGAGGUCCGCAAGGGCCUUGCACAGGUGGUGCAUGGCUGCCGUCAGCUCGUGUCGUGAGAUGUUGGGUUAAGUCCCGCAACGAGCGCAACCCUCGUCCUAUGUUGCCAGCACGUCAUGGUGGGGACUCAUAGGAGACUGCCGGGGUCAACUCGGAGGAAGGUGGGGAUGACGUCAAGUCAUCAUGCCCCUUAUGUCCAGGGCUGCACACAUGCUACAAUGGCCGGUACAAAGGGCUGCUAAGCCGCAAGGUGGAGCGAAUCCCAAAAAGCCGGUCUCAGUUCGGAUCGGGGUCUGCAACUCGACCCCGUGAAGUCGGAGUCGCUAGUAAUCGCAGAUCAGCAACGCUGCGGUGAAUACGUUCCCGGGCCU